GCCGCUCUGGGUUACUCGUAGCGCAUCCCGUUGAGUCCCUGACUACCUUUCUUUGCCAAAAUGUUCCCGGUUUCAGACGUGGUGAGCAGGCCCUCCUACAGCAGAGGGAAGCCUGAAGCGUUUCACCGGGCGAUAUUGCGACUGAGGUCAGUAACUCGACACUUCCCGCAACGGUAUCCCGGAGCAACU
rfam:Geobacter bemidjiensis Bem, complete genome.